rnacentral:rRNA from 1 species
ACGGAGGGUGCGAGCGUUAAUCGGAAUUACUGGGCGUAAAGGGUGCGUAGGUUGUCUAUUAAGUUAUCUGUGAAAUCCCCGGGCUCAACCUGGGCAGGUCAGAUAAUACUGGUAGACUCGAGUAUAGGAGAGGGCAGUGGAAUUUCCGGUGUAGCGGUGAAAUGCGUAGAGAUCGGAAGGAACACCAGUGGCGAAGGCGGCUGCCUGGCCUAAUACUGACACUGAGGCACGAAAGCGUGGGGAGCAAACAGG